rnacentral:rRNA from 1 species
CAGUGUGACUCGUCACACUAUCAUUAACUGAAUCCAUAGGUUAAUGAGGCGAACCGGGGGAACUGAAACAUCUAAGUACCCCGAGGAAAAGAAAUCAACCGAGAUUCCCCCAGUAGCGGCGAGCGAACGGGGAGGAGCCCAGAGCCUGAAUCAGCAUGUGUGUUAGUGGAAGCGUCUGGAAAGGCGCGCGAUACAGGGUGACAGCCCCGUACACAAAAGCGCAUGUGCUGUGAGCUCGAUGAGUAGGGCGGGACACGUGGUAUCCUGUCUGAAUAUGGGGGGACCAUCCUCCAAGGCUAAAUACUCCUGACUGACCGAUAGUGAACCAGUACCGUGAGGGAAAGGCGAAAAGAACCCCGGCGAGGGGAGUGAAAAAGAACCUGAAACCGUGUACGUACAAGCAGUGGGAGCACAGGUUUACCUGUGUGACUGCGUACCUUUUGUAUAAUGGGUCAGCGACUUAUAUUCUGUAGCAAGGUUAACCGAAUAGGGGAGCCGGAGGGAAACCGAGUCUUAAUUGGGCGUUAAGUUGCAGGGUAUAGACCCGAAACCCGGUGAUCUAGCCAUGGGCAGGUUGAAGGUUGGGUAACACUAACUGGAGGACCGAACCGACUAAUGUUGAAAAAUUAGCGGAUGACCUGUGGCUGGGGGUGAAAGGCCAAUCAAACCGGGAGAUAGCUGGUUCUCCCCGAAAGCUAUUUAGGUAGCGCCUCGUGAAUUCAUCUCCGGGGGUAGAGCACUGUUUCGGCUAGGGGGCCAUCCCGGCUUACCAACCCGAUGCAAACUGCGAAUACCGGAGAAUGUUAUCACGGGAGACACACGGCGGGUGCUAACGUCCGUCGUGAAGAGGGAAACAACCCAGACCGCCAGCUAAGGUCCCAAAGUCAUGGUUAAGUGGGAAACGAUGUGGGAAGGCCCAGACAGCCAGGAUGUUGGCUUAGAAGCAGCCAUCAUUUAAAGAAAGCGUAAUAGCUCACUGGUCGAGUCGGCCUGCGCGGAAGAUGUAACGGGGCUAAACCAUGCACCGAAGCUGCGGCAGCGACACUGUGUGUUGUUGGGUAGGGGAGCGUUCUGUAAGCCUGCGAAGGUGGCCUGUGAGGGUUGCUGGAGGUAUCAGAAGUGCGAAUGCUGACAUAAGUAACGAUAAAGCGGGUGAAAAGCCCGCUCGCCGGAAGACCAAGGGUUCCUGUCCAACGUUAAUCGGGGCAGGGUGAGUCGACCCCUAAGGCGAGGCCGAAAGGCGUAGUCGAUGGGAAACGGGUUAAUAUUCCCGUACUUGGUGUUACUGCGAAGGGGGGACGGAGAAGGCUAUGUUGGCCGGGCGACGGUUGUCCCGGUUUAAGCGUGUAGGUGUGUGUUCCAGGUAAAUCCGGUUCACUUUAACACUGAGGCGUGACGACGAGGCACUACGGUGCUGAAGCAACAAAUGCCCUGCUUCCAGGAAAAGCCUCUAAGCAUCAGGUAACAUCAAAUCGUACCCCAAACCGACACAGGUGGUCAGGUAGAGAAUACCAAGGCGCUUGAGAGAACUCGGGUGAAGGAACUAGGCAAAAUGGUGCCGUAACUUCGGGAGAAGGCACGCUGACACGUAGGUGAAGUGAUUUACUCAUGGAGCUGAAGUCAGUCGAAGAUACCAGCUGGCUGCAACUGUUUAUUAAAAACACAGCACUGUGCAAACACGAAAGUGGACGUAUACGGUGUGACGCCUGCCCGGUGCCGGAAGGUUAAUUGAUGGGGUCAGCGCAAGCGAAGCUCCUGAUCGAAGCCCCGGUAAACGGCGGCCGUAACUAUAACGGUCCUAAGGUAGCGAAAUUCCUUGUCGGGUAAGUUCCGACCUGCACGAAUGGCGUAAUGAUGGCCAGGCUGUCUCCACCCGAGACUCAGUGAAAUUGAACUCGCUGUGAAGAUGCAGUGUACCCGCGGCAAGACGGAAAGACCCCGUGAACCUUUACUAUAGCUUGACACUGAACAUUGAGCCUUGAUGUGUAGGAUAGGUGGGAGGCUUUGAAGUGUGGACGCCAGUCUGCAUGGAGCCGACCUUGAAAUACCACCCUUUAAUGUUUGAUGUUCUAACGUGGACCCGUUACCCGGGUUGCGGACAGUGUCUGGUGGGUAGUUUGACUGGGGCGGUCUCCUCCUAAAGAGUAACGGAGGAGCACGAAGGUUGGCUAAUCCUGGUCGGACAUCAGGAGGUUAGUGCAAUGGCAUAAGCCAGCUUGACUGCGAGCGUGACGGCGCGAGCAGGUGCGAAAGCAGGUCAUAGUGAUCCGGUGGUUCUGAAUGGAAGGGCCAUCGCUCAACGGAUAAAAGGUACUCCGGGGAUAACAGGCUGAUACCGCCCAAGAGUUCAUAUCGACGGCGGUGUUUGGCACCUCGAUGUCGGCUCAUCACAUCCUGGGGCUGAAGUAGGUCCCAAGGGUAUGGCUGUUCGCCAUUUAAAGUGGUACGCGAGCUGGGUUUAGAACGUCGUGAGACAGUUCGGUCCCUAUCUGCCGUGGGCGCUGGAGAACUGAGGGGGGCUGCUCCUAGUACGAGAGGACCGGAGUGGACGCAUCACUGGUGUUCGGGUUGUCAUGCCAAUGGCACUGCCCGGUAGCUAAAUGCGGAAGAGAUAAGUGCUGAAAGCAUCUAAGCACGAAACUUGCCCCGAG